rnacentral:rRNA from 1 species
GGAUUAGGCAUGCAAGUCGAACGAGGGAAUAUUCUUCGGAAUAUAAAUCGAGUGGCGAAAGGGUGAGUAAUGCAUAGAUGACAUACCUUUAGGAUAAGAAUAGCUUUGUGAAAACGGAGAUAAUGCUUAAUAAUUACGAAGUGAAAUCAAUUUUCUUCGUCAAAGGGGGGGCAGCAAUGCCUCUUGCCUAGAGAGUGGUUUAUGUCCUAUCAGCUAGUUGGUGGGGUAAUGGCCUACCAAGGCUAAGACGGGUAGCCGGCCUUAGAGGGUGGUCGGCCACACUGGGACUGAGACACUGCCCAGACUCCUACGGGAGGCUGCAGUCGAGAAUCUUUCGCAAUGGACGAAAGUCUGACGAUGCGACGCCGCGUGGACGACGAAGGCCUUCGGGUCGUAAAGUCCUGUCAGGAGUUAGGAAAUACGCGCAUUACCCAAAGUGCGCGUUUGACUUCAGCUCCAGAGGAAGCCACGGCUAACUUCGUGCCAGCAGCCGCGGUAAUACGAAGGUGGCAAGCGUUGUUCGGAAUCACUGGGCAUAAAGGGCGUGUAGGCGGCCAUGUAUGUCGGAUGUGAAAUCCCUCGACUCAAUCGAGGAACUGCAUUCGAAACUGCGUGGCUUGAGUUCAGAAGGGGAGAGCGGAAUUCCUGGUGGAGCGGUGAAAUGCGUAGAGAUCAGGAGGAACACCGGUGGCGAAAGCGGCUCUCUAGUCUGCAACUGACGCUGAGGCGCGAAAGCCAGGGGAGCGAACGGGAUUAGAUACCCCGGUAGUCCUGGCCCGUAAACGAUGGGCACUAAGUAGAGGGGUUUU